CACAUGACUCUCGGCAACGGAUAUCUCGGCUCUCGCAUCGAUGAAGAACGUAGCAAAAUGCGAUACCUGGUGUGAAUUGCAGAAUCCCGUGAACCAUCGAGUUUUUGAACGCAAGUUGCGCCCGAGGCCUUUCGGUUGAGGGCACGUCUGCCUGGGCGUCACGC
rnacentral:rRNA from 1 species